rnacentral:rRNA from 1 species
UACGGAGGGUGCAAGCGUUGUCCGGAAUUACUGGGCGUAAAGAGCUCGUAGGUGGUUUGUCGCGUUGUUCGUGAAAUCCCGCAGCUUAACUGCGGGCGUGCGGGCGAUACGGGCAGACUGGAGUACUGCAGGGGAGACUGGAAUUCCUGGUGUAGCGGUGGAAUGCGCAGAUAUCAGGAGGAACACCGGUGGCGAAGGCGGGUCUCUGGGCAGUAACUGACGCUGAGGAGCGAAAGCGUGGGGAGCGAACAGG